rnacentral:rRNA from 1 species
GAGCGAUCUUCUUCGGAAGAGAGCGGCGGACGGGUGAGUAACGCGUGGGUAACCUGCCCUGUACACACGGAUAACAUACCGAAAGGUAUGCUAAUACGGGAUAACAUAAGAAAGUCGCAUGGAUUUCUUAUCAAAGCUUUUGCGGUACAGGAUGGACCCGCGUCUGAUUAGCUAGUUGGUAAGGUAACGGCUUACCAAGGCGACGAUCAGUAGCCGACCUGAGAGGGUGAUCGGCCACAUUGGAACUGAGACACGGUCCAAACUCCUACGGGAGGCAGCAGUGGGGAAUAUUGCACAAUGGGCGAAAGCCUGAUGCAGCAACGCCGCGUGAGCGAUGAAGGCCUUCGGGUCGUAAAGCUCUGUCCUCAAGGAAGAUAAUGACGGUACUUGAGGAGGAAGCCCCGGCUAACUACGUGCCAGCAGCCGCGGUAAUACGUAGGGGGCUAGCGUUAUCCGGAAUUACUGGGCGUAAAGGGUGCGUAGGCGGUCUUUCAAGUCAGAAGUGAAAGGCUACGGCUCAACCGUAGUAAGCUUUUGAAACUGUAAGACUUGAGUGCAGGAGAGGAGAGUGGAAUUCCUAGUGUAGCGGUGAAAUGCGUAGAUAUUAGGAGGAACACCAGUUGCGAAGGCGGCUCUCUGGACUGUAACUGACGCUGAGG